rnacentral:lncRNA from 1 species
CCCCUCGUUCAAACCAUCAGAUGGUUCUACCAGCUUGAUCAUGUACAUAUAUAAUAAUAAAUGAAUGUACAUAUAAAUACAAUAUAAAUGCAGCAAGUAUACUCUCUUUGCACACCUACCAAGCGAAUACAUAUAUUAAAGCCGUGUUCGAAAAUGCGGGGGAGUUGACGAUUACUCGGACGCGUAUACGGUAAGCGGAGCAUGGCCGUGGCGAAAAGUGUCUGAUCGGGUGCUCUGUGCGGCAAGGCGAAUUGUUUCCGCCUAUCCAGUGUAUUUGUGAAACGCGGGGGCCUAGAUUCAAAACGUUUUACGCAAUUAAGCCCAAGAUCCUUUGGUCUGAAUCCUAAUCCAAAGCAUUUGUCACGAAAUCAAGAGAAAAAAUGAGAGGUGGAGACAAAAUCCAAAGGGGAUUGAGAUCUCGUUCCAAACAAAAUAAAGUUGAAUCUUGUUCCUGCAUAGUCUAUCUUCUUCUAUUUCACGAAACUGAGGAAGAAGAAGACUUAUUUACAAGUCUACCAUUCACUAAAAACAAAAGAAAUAUUAAAAAAAAAAAUUAACGUAACACUGUUCAAACUCUAAGAUAAAUUGAAUCAAACCACAUUAUUGUCCACUAC